rnacentral:misc_RNA from 1 species
GGAAGUAAAAUCGUAACAAGGUUUCCGUAGGUGAACCUGCGGAAGGAUCAUUAUUGUAUAACCGAGGUGCGAGGGCUGUCGCUGACCCGAAAGGUCGUGCACGCCCGAGUGCCCUCACACACAUCCAUCUCACCCCUAUGUGCACCACCGCGUGGGUCCCCCUUUGGCUUGUUCGGAGGGGGGCUUACGUUUUCACACAAACUUUGUAUGCAGUGUAGAAUGUAUUUUUUGUUUUUGCGAUCACGCAAUCAAUACAACUUUCAACAACGUAUCUCUUGGCUCUC